UGGCGGCGUGGAUAAGACAUGCAAGUCGAGCGCUCAUUCGUUUGCAGCAAUGUAAACGGGUGGGAGCGGCGUAAGGGUGCGUAACGCGUGGGUAAUUUGCCGUGAAGUUGGGAAUAACUCGCUGAAAGGCGAGCUAAUGCCGAAUGUGGUUGUCCGGUGGCAUCAUCGGGUUACCAAAGUUGGGGACCGCAAGGCCUGACGCUUCACGAUAAGCCCGCGACCUAUCAGCUAGUUGGUGAGGUAACGGCCCACCAAGGCGAAGACGGGUAGCUGGUCUGAGAGGACGACCAGCCACACUGGAACUGAGACACGGUCCAGACACCUACGGGUGGCAGCAGUCGAGAAUUUUUCACAAUGGGCGCAAGCCUGAUGGAGCGACGCCGCGUGGGGGAUGAAGGGCUUCGGUCCGUAAACCCCUGUCAUUUGCGAACAAACCUCUUCCGUGAACAACGGGAGAGCUGAUGGUAGCGAAAGAGGAAGGGACGGCUAACUCUGUGCCAGCAGCCGCGGUAAUACAGAGGUCCCGAGCGUUGUUCGGAUUCACUGGGCGUAAAGGGUGCGUAGGUGGUGAGGUAAGUCGGAUGUGAAAGCUCGGAGCUCAACUCCGAAAUGGCAUUGGAAACUACCUUGCUUGA
rnacentral:rRNA from 1 species